rnacentral:rRNA from 1 species
AACGUAGGAGGCGAGCGUUAUCCGGAUUUACUGGGUGUAAAGCGUGUGCAGGCGGACCGGCAAGUUGGAUGUGAAAGCUCCUGGCUUAACUGGGAGAGGUCGUUCAAAACUGCCGGACUUGAGUAUGGGAGAGGGAGGCGGAAUUCCGGGUGUAGUGGUGAAAUGCGUAGAUAUCCGGAGGAACACCAGUGGCGAAAGCGGCCUCCUGGCCCAAAACUGACGCUCAGACACGAAAGCUAGGGGAGCGAACGGG